AAGUCGUAACAAGGUUUCCGUAGGUGAACCUGCGGAAGGAUCAUUAUCAAUUGAAUCCUCGGAUCUCUUUAUUGGGGUCUGUUGGUUUACUGUGAACUGGCAUGCUUCAAUUUAUUGGAGUGUGUGUCUAUUUUUUUAUCGUUUUUUAUUAUAAAAUGUUUGGAAUAUGGCUUUGAAAAGACAACUUUCAGCAAUGGAUCUCUUGGCUCUU
rnacentral:misc_RNA from 1 species